rnacentral:rRNA from 1 species
UGAGGAAUAUUGGUCAAUGGACGGAAGUCUGAACCAGCCAAGUAGCGUGCAGGAUGACGGCCCUAUGGGUUGUAAACUGCUUUUGUAUGGGGAUAAAGUUAGGGACGUGUCCCUAUUUGCAGGUACCAUACGAAUAAGGACCGGCUAAUUCCGUGCCAGCAGCCGCGGUAAUACGGAAGGUCCAGGCGUUAUCCGGAUUUAUUGGGUUUAAAGGGAGCGUAGGCUGGAGAUUAAGUGUGUUGUGAAAUGUAGACGCUCAACGUCUGAAUUGCAGCGCAUACUGGUUUCCUUGAGUACGCACAACGUUGGCGGAAUUCGUCGUGUAGCGGUGAAAUGCUUAGAUAUGACGAAGAACUCCGAUUGCGAAGGCAGCUGACGGGAGCGAAACUGACGCUUAAGCUCGAAGGUGCGGGUAUCAAACAGG